UGUUGUUCAAGGAGAAACUGAAGAGCAAGAAGGAAAGUGAGAGCCAGCAAUACCAGCAGAGCCAGGUCUGAGCUGGGAGAAGGGGAGAAAGUUUGUGAAGGGGAGGUGGUCCACAGUGAACGAACAUGCAGCGUGGAAGGACUGAGGUAGAUUCUGUGGUAGAAUAAGUGGUGAACUGCACAAACUGAAACCAUCAUUAUGUGGGGGAGCCGGCAGAUUGUUUAUAAGCUAAAAGUAAACUCAUAAGGAAGAGAAAAUUAUUGAUGUAGGUAACAAAUAGAUAAGUGAAUACUUUUCGGUGACCUGGGCUCCUUAUGUGCCUGAAAGAGUUUGAGUUUCCUGUUAACUCCAAAUCAACAGUAUUUUCAACAAGAAAUGGGCAAUUGAAAUCAAGUGCUGUUUAAGUGCAGCUAGGAUUUCCACAGGAAGACACUUGUAGUGAACAGAGUUAUGGAGCAGCAAAAGCACAGAUCUAUUUGGAAAAAGACAAAACAUAUGCGUUGUAUUUUGCUUCAAUUAUAAAAUACCAUCCUCUCAAAGGUGGUUCUAAAUUACAAAGGACUUUGAUUUCUAGGUAGAUUCUGGGUAGAGACUUCCUUUCAUAUUGAGGCAUUAAUGACACCUUUUAACCUGGGAAGCAAUAUGACUGGAGUUGUACUUUGAGAAGAUUAAUCAGGUUUGGUUGCAGAAUGAAAGAGAAAAUGAAGUCAAGAGAUUGGUUUAGAGGCUCUAGCAGAAGCUUAGUCAUAUUUUAAAAUGAUCAAAUAUCAAGAAAAACAAUUCUGAGCUGCAUAAGUUGUAUAAAGUAAUUUUCAGUGAUUUUUUUUCAUGGUUAUGAUAAAAGAACUGGAUUAGCAGAAACUUUUACCCUGAAUCAAGAUUUAAUUUGUCUUUGAGCUCAUCUUAAUGAUGUUGGAACAUAGGGAGCAAACGAUGGUGUGGCUGCCUCAGUGCUUGAUUUUUAACGGUUUUGAAGAGAAUAGUUACAUUUCUUCUCCUAGUAAGAACUAAUAAAUACAUUAACAGAAAUUCCCUAUCCUUUUGUACACUGGUCUAUUUCUUCAAAACAUUAAAUACUAUUGAUAAGAU
rnacentral:lncRNA from 1 species